rnacentral:rRNA from 1 species
GAUGAACGCCGGCGGCGUGCCUAAUACGUGCAAGUCGAGCGAAUGGAUUGAGAGCUUGCUCUUAUGAAGUUAGCGGCGGACGGGUGAGUAACACGUGGGUAACCUGCCCAUAAGACUGGGAUAACUCCGGGAAACCGGGGCUAAUACCGGAUAACAUUUUGAACCGCAUGGUUCGAAAUUGAAAGGCGGCUUCGGCUGUCACUUAUGGAUGGACCCGCGUCGCAUUAGCUAGUUGGUGCGGUAACGGCUCACCAAGGCAACGAUGCGUAGCCGACCUGAGAGGGUGAUCGGCCACACUGGGACUGAGACACGGCCCAGACUCCUACGGGAGGCAGCAGUAGGGAAUCUUCCGCAAUGGACGAAAGUCUGACGGAGCAACGCCGCGUGAGUGAUGAAGGCUUUCGGGUCGUAAAACUCUGUUGUUAGGGAAGAACAAGUGCUAGUUGAAUAAGCUGGCACCUUGACGGUACCUAACCAGAAAGCCACGGCUAACUACGUGCCAGCAGCCGGGGUAA